AGUGGGACUUCUGGUUGUCUCAAUUCACUUUUCACAGAGGUCUUUUCCUGAUCCAGGAGAUAUUCAACUGAGUCUGGCACCGUUUAAGGUCUGAUAGGAGAUAUUUACCACCUAUUACUCUUUCUGAAGGCUGCUACCAGAAGGCUUCAUCUUCAUAACAAGAACCUUGGCCUCCACAACCCUCCUUAUCUUAACCCUAAGCAUUUCUGUCUUAACUCCUUAGAAAGAAACUUAACUGUUUCAACCAACUGCCAAUCAGAACACCUUUGAAUUCAACUAUCAGCUGUAAGCCCAACACCCUCCUUGAAGUUGUCCUACCUUUCUGGACCAAAUGAACAUAUACGUUACAUACACUGAUUGAUGUCUGCCUAUAAAUUCUGUCCCCCUAAACUGUGUAAAAUCAAGCUGUAACCCAACCACUGUGUUUGGAUACAUGUUCUCAGGACCUCCUGAGGCUAUGUCAUGGGUCAUGGUCCUCACAUUUGGCUCAGAAUAAAUGUCUUUAAAUAUUUUACAGAGAUUGGCUUUUUU
rnacentral:lncRNA from 10 species